CGCUCCCACUUACCAAACUGACCUCCUUCGGCCUCCUCUCUCCCAUGGCUUCUUCUACUUCGCCUUCGAGUUACCAUCCCAUUCCCCUCUAAUCUUUCUCUCCGCUUUGCGCUCUCUUGAUCGGUGUAAGAUACUGAAGAUUGUGCCUUUGCCAUGGUCUCGCUCGCUGACUCCCAGUGCGGGAGGGCUCCGCGCUACCACCAUGGUCGAUCCAUGCGCACGGUGCGCUCCUACCUCUUCCACCACCGUCCCUCCACCGGUGCCCCGCCCACCCUGCCCCCUUCCUCCUCCGCCGCCGUCUCUGAGAACCUGACCGACUCCGUCGUCGACUUCAAGCUCCGGGAGCUCGCGGUCGGGGUAGGGUCCUCCGUCGCUGAGCCUGCCGCCUCCACCGAGGAGCUUCUCGAGAUCUCUCGGGAGUUCUCGGACUGCUCCAGCUUUGGCUCCGACAUCUCCGGCGAGCUCCAGAGGUUGGCCUCCCUCCCCAGAUCCGAGGCGCCGCGGAGCACUGCGUCGCCGGAGAUCGAUGGCAUCGAGGCGCUGGGGGGAACAGGAAUCGGCUCGUCGCCCGAGAUCUUGGAGAGCGCGUCGCUGGAUGGCGUGGAGCCGGUGGUGCGCGCGUGCGUGGAAGGCCUGGGGUCGCCGUCGGCGGAGGCGAAGCGCGUGGCGGCGUCGAAGAUCCGGCUCCUGGCGAAGCACCGGUCCGACUUCCGGGCGCUCAUAGGGGCGUCGGGGGCGAUCCCGGCGCUGGUUCCACUGCUGCGUAGCACGGAUCCGGCGGCGCAAGAGAGCGCGGCGACGGCGCUGCUGAACCUCUCGCUGGAGGAGGUCAACAAGGGCCGGAUCGCGGCGGCAGGCGCGAUCAAACCGCUGGUCUACGCAAUGCGGACUGGGACGGCGGCCGCGAAGCAGAACGCGGCGUGUGCGCUGCUGAGCCUGUCGAUGAUCGAGGAGAACCGGGCAACGAUCGGGGCCUGCGGGGCGAUCCCGCCGCUGGUGGCGCUUCUAGUGGGUGGGUCGAGCCGGGGCAAGAAGGACGCUCUCACCACGCUCUACAAGCUGUGCUCCACGCGGCGGAACAAGGAGCGAGCGGUUAGCGCAGGGGCUGCGGUGCCGCUGGUGGGCAUGGUGGGGGAGCCCGGCGGGGGCACGGCCGAGAAGGCGAUGGUCGUGCUGGGAAGCCUGGCGGCCAUCCCGGAGGGCCGUGAGGCGAUCGUCGAGGCCGGCGGCAUCCCGACACUUGUCGAGGCGAUCGAGGCCGGCCCGGCGAGGGGGAGGGAGUUCGCCGUGCACGCCCUGCUCCUGCUCUGCGCCGACAGCCCCCGGAACCGCGGCCUUCUCGUCCGCGAGGGCGCCAUCCCACCGCUCGUCGCCCUCUCGCAGUGCGGCUCCGCCCGCGCCAAGCUCAAGGCGGAGACGCUUCUCGGCUACUUGCGCGAGCAGCGGCAGGACAUGGCGAGGUUCUGACCCAGCCUUCAGAUGUUCAGAGCCUUUUUCAUGGAUGUUGCAAAUGGUAGCAGCCCAUGGCUAAGCUCAAAGCAGAUAGGCUGUCUGUUUGAUUCAUAUUAGCUGUUGCAAUGGGUUGCUUCAACCAUUGGUGAAGAUAAAAAUGUCAAUUUGGUUCUAAACCAGCCCUAGAAAGCUGCAUUAUCUUGACAUGAAUGGAGACAACAAAUGCAGCAACUGAGAAGAUCUCCAGUGUGACAAAUGAAGGUUCUGAACCAGCUUUAAAAAUCUUGGAUUCUCCUUACAUGAAGAGAACAUCAUAUUGCAGUCACUGAAUGUAAAUUAGAUGCAAGCAGUGCUGGUCUUAUCCAGUAGUCACCUACCUCCACCUAAUGGAUACAGAACAUCCACAGUUGAUAGUUCCACUGGCUCCACAUUGCACUGGGGGAACAGUCACAAAUCUAAAUCUGUAGUGGAGCAGUCUAAAAUCUUUUUUCCAUCCAAAGAACAAUAGAGACAAGACAGACUGGCUCUUCACCAUAAUCCAUUAUGAACUGAUGCAGAUAGCUGUCAAAUAGUGGACCCUAAGUUGUUGUGGUUGAGUCCCUUUACAUGAAAAAUGACAAUGAGUUGUAUUUUAGAUAGCAUAGUAUGCCUUUUGCAGGUAUUUAGGAUUGCCAAUCAAUAAUAAGUUAAAAGAGUAUACAGAUGAGACAUGAUCUACUU